UAGAUCAAGAAUAUAGUUUGAAUAGCAGUGUUAUCCAUCGUUUUCAGAUGCUGAGAACAGUGAAUGAUGUCAUCGACACUGCUGUUGACAGUGCGAUGCAACAAUAGGCACUUGCAUUCUAAAAGUCUUCCCUGCACACUCAGCUCCCUCAGAUGCGCAUGGAUGGAGAUAUAGAUGUUGCUUGCUACCUGGCCGUAUAUCGGGGUUCCAGUUGGUGUAUGUGAAGGUUGCUUCCUCUAUAGGAUGAAGAACUGGUGGCCUCAAACAACUACAGGAAAUCAACAUGGAUCACCCAAGCGAAGGACAGCCUCUUACUGCCAACAUCUCUUACUCUUAGUCUUAGUUACAAUGAAGGAAAGCAAACAUCACUAGCCUUAUAAGUUUGGAGCAUACAGAAAUAAUGAAAUAAUCAUGUGAAAAUUUAAAAAGUACAACUGCAUUCUAAAACAUUCCACAUGUAAUCAAUCAACCUCUUAGUGCCCAGAGGGAAGGGCUAUUCUUCAGACAUGGUUCCCCAGAGGUUUCCCCCAAUAAAUUGGGGUUUUUCCUUUCCUGCGUGCUGAAGAAUGACUCUUUGUGAGUCCAGAGGUGACAAUUUGUUUAAAAACCUUUGAGGUAAAUAUGUAUCUUUUGCUUCUGUCUGCAGAUGUUGAUUUAAUAAUAAAGUUGGUUUAGUCUAUU